rnacentral:rRNA from 1 species
UUCCAGUCUCCCCUACCGCACUCCAGCCCGCCCGUACCCGGCGCAGAUCCACCGUUAAGCGAUGGACUUUCACACCGGACGCGACGAGCCGCCUACGAGCCCUUUACGCCCAAUAAAUCCGGAUAACGCUUGCGCCCUACGUAUUACCGCGGCUGCUGGCACGUAGUUAGCCGGCGCUUAUUCGAAAGGUACACUCACCCGAAGGCUUGCUCCCAAACAAAAGAGGUUUACAACCCGAAGGCCUCCAUCCCUCACGCGGCGUCGCUGCAUCAGGCUUGCGCCCAUUGUGCAAUAUUCCCCACUGCUGCCUCCCGUAGGAGUCUGGGCCGUAUCUCAGUCCCAAUGUGGCCGGUCGCCCUCUCAGGCCGGCUACCCGUCGAAGCCUUGGUGAGCCGUUACCUCACCAACAAGCUGAUAGGACGCGACCCCAUCCCACGCCGAUAGAAUCUUUCCCACAAUCACAUGCGAUCAUGUGGAA